GUGCUCGCUUCAGCAGCAUGUGUACUAAAAUUGGAAUGAUACAGAGAAGAUUAGCAUGGCCCCCAUACAAGGAAAAUGCUAGCAGCUAAGAAGUGGCUACAGAGACAU